GGGAAGGUGGCUCAGUGGUAGAGCGCUUGCCUUGCAUGCAUUAGGCCCUGGGUUUGAUUCCUCAGCACCCCA
rfam:Dipodomys ordii contig_46157, whole genome shotgun sequence.